rnacentral:lncRNA from 1 species
GUUUUAUGCUUGCUACAUAUCAGAAAUCGAUGCUUAUAGACCAAGAGAAACUAGUAUUGCAUGGAAUGAUUCAGUGGUGGAAAGUCGGCAUUUGAAAUGCAAUGGAACAUGACUGGGUCAAAGUAUAGGUUCUCUCUAGAACACUGCUAAUCUGUUCAACAUAUGUUGCUAUGCUAACAUCUUUGACAGAAGUUAGACACACAGAGAGAAAGACUUAUUUAUGUUACUAUAUAAAAAAAACAUCUUGUAUGUAACACCUCUUCAGGUGUUAACAUCAAACAAAAAGCGAUGUAAAUAAAUGUCCUUCAACAGGAAGCAGGCAAAAAAAGUAGCAAAUCUAUAUACUGGGAGGUUCUCAGUUACAAAAGUGCAAACAACUUAUGUGUGCUAAAGCUUGUGCUUCAAGGACAGCACCUCAGUAACUACGGAUUGCUAGAUACUAAAUGGUCCCACGCAGCAAGCUUACAGAGGCAGAAAACAGAAAAGUGUGCACUGAGCCACACUACAAAGAGAACAUUUCUGUGUUAGUAAAGCACUGUGUGUCCUGACUAUGGAUGUGAUUCUGAAAAAUUCCAUGUAGAGUAAUGAUACAGAAAUACAUACUCAAGGUGCAGAUGAGUCCAGGUGAACACUGAUGAGACCCAAAGAAAGGCUAGAUUCUAAUUUUCACAGGAUAGCACAAAUAUCAAUUUUUGGUCUAACUACAAACUCUAGUUGGGUAUGGUGAAUCAAGUCCCACAAGAAACUAUAUAACUUCCUUACUGUUUAUAACGAUCUCAAAAUAAAAAUAUGAAAUACAUCGAUUGUCUAAAUCCAACGUUGCCCUGCCUGCCUUAGGAAACCUUGCACCCUGCUCUUUCUCCUCCAGCUCCUUUAUUCGUUUCCCUUUUCUAUGCUAGAGAUUGAUAAUCGUUCAACUUUCACCACUCCUCAAAUAUAAUCAUUACCUAAAUGGUUCUGCUUAAACUCGGGCAUGAACUAAACUUUAAAAUCAUAACAAAUAUCACAUAUCUCCCAAGGGCUAGCUGGAUAUAGCAAUCAAUAAAAGUAUUUCCAUCUCUGUCCAGCAACAACAUCUUGACUGUACAAUGACUUUGCUGUGCUUCAUUACACUUUAAUCUUCUUGAACUUGGUGAUCCAGCUUAGUUUUUAAAAUGAAUCUUUAAUGUAUAAGCAAAUCACUACCAAAAGGACAUCUCUGAUUGACAAGCUGCACUUGCCUUCUCAUUGGUAUCCUGGCAACUUGAUGUUGAAAACAAGAAUUGUAGUAAACUAAGCAAGACAAAUGCUAAACAGAGAUUUUUAGUAAGUUACUUUUUCCUUUAGAGUAUAUCCAUUUCUGUUCAUGAAAGAAUAAUUACCAAAAACAGCUGGAAUAUAUUUUCGUGCACUACAUAUAAAAUUAUUUUGCAAUUGUGCAUUUUUUUGAAACUUAGGUGUUUCAACCCUUUAUUAGUUAUAAAUCUGAAACUUUAUUGCUUUUUACAGAUUUCAUCUAUACUAAUCUUAAUCGCUAAACUGUAUCUUGAAAUUUUCUCCAAAAUACCCUAGAAAAUUACAAACCCACUAGUAUUACAGGAACAUGUAUGUUAUUUUAACCAAGCAAUAUGUAUAUUUAAUGAUGCUUCAUAGUGUCGUGGCUCUCAUGUUAGACAUUUAUUGUUAAUGCAUUUUCUAACAUAUCUUAUUAAAAGCCAUUAAAACCUGCAGCUGCAUCCCAUAAUCAUCCACUAAAUACAAGGACAGCAUUUAUAAAAGAUCUCCUUGUUCAAAAUACUGCCAUACAGAUCACAAAUCCUUCAUUGCCAGCCAGGAAGCUUUUAUUCUUUACAAAAAGAAAUGCUAAGUAAUUCAUCACAUGCCAGCCUUUUUUUCCCUUUUAAUUUCCAUAUAGUGGCCUUAGUCCAAGUGUUCAAAAUCCACAUUCAUCAGGAACAAUUAUGAUAUAGGCUCAGAAUGACACUUAAAUUUUUUAUUUGAGUGCCAUGUUUCUCCUGAGGCUCAGCCUCUUAAAAUGCAGCCAUGCUCUAUAUGUAAAGGGACAGUAAUUGGCUUAGCUGAGCAUAUGACAUUGAGGCUCCUGUGCAAAUACUCUAGGUCUGCAUACCAAAGGAGGAAACUAUGUGAUUUACAAUCUCAUUAAUUUUGUAGCACAAAAAAAAAAUCCUGUUCAAAGUUUUAUAUGCUUAUAAAAGUAAUGUAUGUUGUUUAUCUAAUUUGAUUAAUUUACUAGUCUUUGAUCAUACCUUACUUACCCAUAUCAUCUCCCGAAAGAGUUUCAUAUAAAAACAAAAGCAGGAUGAGACUCCAAAGGAAUUUCAUUAUUGAGAAAAAGGCCUUUGAGCAUAAUAGAAAUUCCUGAGUCACAAAACAGUUACUCCUUUUUAUGCACGAUUACAUUUUUCAACAUUCCUCCAUAACUUUCACAAUGUUCUAAAAUUUGUCAGCUAUUUUAUAUUUAUUUAUUUAUUUAUUUAUUUAUGCUCAUGUUUUCUUUAAAUAACAGCUAUAGUUAAAAGGAAAAUGAACAGAAAACUAUAUUCUGAUAGAAUAGUAAUAGCAACAGAAAACAAUAGUAAAUGACAGGUAGGCCUGAGUCACUACAUUUUUCACAAGUUUAUAAAAAGGUUAUAUCCAAAAAGAUUACAUUUAGUACAUUCAUCUACAUAUAGCUAUUUUUGAUUCUGAGGGAAUAAAUUAUCCCAUUUCAUAACAUAGUCAAGACAUAAAUAGCCAGUUGUCACUACAUGAAAAAUGAGGGUGCUGAUUAUUUCAAUAGGAACACUUAUAUAUAAAGCUACAACCACAUAAUUCUUUGAGAGCACAGAUUGCUGACUUAUCUAUGUUUCCAUAAGUACAGGUGGUGCACACAGAUGACACAGGGUGCCACUGAGACCAAGCUAGCUGUUGGUCUUAAGAAUACAGAUAACUGCACCUCAUACCACGUCCCCCGCCUCUUCCACGCAGAUCAGGACGUCCCCACCCAGGACUUUGUGCUCCACAGUGAUCCCCUGCAACAGCUCCCAUUAAUGCUUUCGGCUGUCUGAUCUCUCAGCAAGGAUGGAAUAAAUUGCCCACUGUUUGGUGGUACAUUAACUUCUUUGGGUUACUGGGGAGUCUUUUAGUGUACUGAAAGGUAAUUUGCUAAAUGGUACAUUGUUGAUUUAGAAAACUUAAUUGGCCUCUAGAAAAGUAGAUAAUUUACUCCUGCAGGAUGCAUGAUAAAGCCAGACUGUUACACAGGGAAUUUAAGUGGUUC